CCUACGGGAGGCAGCAGUGGGGAAUAUUGGACAAUGGGGGGAACCCUGAUCCAGCCAUGCCGCGUGUGUGAAGAAGGCCCUCGGGUUGUAAAGCACUUUCAGUGAGGAAGAACGCCUGGUGGUUAAUACCCAUCAGGAAAGACAUCACUCACAGAAGAAGCACCGGCUAACUCCGUGCCAGCAGCCGCGGUAAUACGGAGGGUGCGAGCGUUAAUCGGAAUUACUGGGCGUAAAGCGCACGUAGGUGGCUUGAUAAGCCGGUUGUGAAAGCCCCGGGCUCAACCUGGGAACGGCAUCCGGAACUGUCAAGCUAGAGUGCAGGAGAGGAAGGUAGAAUUCCCGGUGUAGCGGUGAAAUGCGUAGAGAUCGGGAGGAAUACCAGUGGCGAAGGCGGCCUUCUGGACUGACACUGACACUGAGGUGCGAAAGCGUGGGUAGCAAACAGGAUUAGAUACCCCAGUAGUC
rnacentral:rRNA from 1 species